rnacentral:rRNA from 1 species
UACAGGGGGUGCAAACGUUGCUCGGAAUUAUUGGGCGUAAAGCGCGCGUAGGCGGCUACUUAAGUCGGAUGUGAAAGCCCUUGGCUCAACUGAGGAAGUGCACCCGAAACUGAGUAGCUGGAGUACGAAAGAGGGUCGCGGAAUUCCCGGUGUAGAGGUGAAAUUCGUAGAUAUCGGGAGGAACACCGGUGGCGAAGGCGGCGACCUGGGUCGAUACUGACGCUGAUGCGCGAAAGCGUGGGGAGCAAACAGG